rnacentral:rRNA from 1 species
GUAGGUGGCAAGCGUUGUCCGGAAUUAUUGGGCGUAGAGCGCGCGCAGGCGGUUCUUUAAGUCUGAUGUGAAAGCCCACGGCUCAACCGUGGAGGGUCAUUGGAAACUGGAGAACUUGAGUACAGAAGAGGAAAGCGGAAUUCCACGUGUAGCGGUGAAAUGCGUAGAGAUGUGGAGGAACACCAGUGGCGAAGGCGGCUUUCUGGUCUGUAACUGACGCUGAGGCGCGAAAGCGUGGGGGAGCAAACAGGAUUAGAUACCCUGGUAGUCCACGCCGUAAACGAUGAGUGCUAAGUGUUAGGGGGUUUCCGCCCCUUAGUGCUGCAGCUAACGCAUUAAGCACUCCGCCUGGGAGUACGGCCGCAAGGCUG